rnacentral:rRNA from 1 species
AUUGAACGCUGGCGGCAGGCCUAACACAUGCAAGUCGAGCGAGCGGCGGACGGGUGAGUAAUGUCUGGGAAACUGCCCGAUGGAGGGGGAUAACUACAGGAAACGGUAGCUAAUACCGCAUACCAUCAGAUGUGCCCAGAUGGGAUUAGCUAGUGGGUGGGGUAAUGGCUCACCUAGGCGACGAUCCCUAGCUGGUCUGAGAGGAUGACCAGCCAAACGGGAACUGAGACACGGUCCAGACUCCUAGGGGAGGCAGCAGUGGGAAAUAGUGCACAAUGGGCGCAAGCCUGAUGCAGCCAUGCCGCGUGGAUGAAGAAGGCCUUCGGGUUGUAAAGUCCUUUCAGCGAGGAGGCGUUACUCGCAGAGGAAGCACCGGCUAACUCCGUGCCAGCAGCCGCGGUAAUAC